AGCUCUGGAGAAGGCGGCUUAAGAACCUGGUAAUGGGUGUUCAUGCUCUUGAGUUGUGCCUCCAUUCGUACCUUGUUACAACAUUGACACAUUACCCAUUUGAUG